GUUGGGCCUCCAACUGACACACCCCUAAGUUCCUGGGUGCUCCCUGGACCGUCACAGCCGCCGAACGUCGGGGCGUGGCCACGGGAGCUGCAGGGUGGCCUCCAGCACCGCCGCGCCCUGGAUCUACUCGCUGCAGGAAAAUGGAGCUACCUGCGUCUUCCUCAGAGAGGAACGCUGUUUCUACGUCAGCAGGAUGCCCUGCAGCUAGUCACACCUGAAGAAGUCCUGAGAAACUGCACCCCGUACCCCUGUUCUUUCUCUGUAACACAGCACACAGGGAUGUCAGGUCUCCGAACAAGACCCCUGCCCACCUAGGAGAGAAAAACCUCUGUCUGCCUCGGUGGUCUCAACUGAGCAGGAGAGAUUUUAGUGAAGAAAAGAAAGAAUGAAGAAAGUAAAAAAAAAAAAAAAA